rnacentral:rRNA from 1 species
AACGAACGCUGGCGGCGUGCCUAACACAUGCAAGUCGAACGAGAAAGGGGCUUCGGCUCCGAGUAAAGUGGCGCACGGGUGAGUAACACGUGGGUAACCUGCCUCUAAGAUUGGGAUAACUCGUCGAAAGAUGAGCUAAUACCGAAUAAGACCACAGUUCCCGCGGGAACAGGGGUCAAAGGUAGCCUCUGCUUGCAAGCUAUCACUUAGAGAUGGGCCUGCGCACCAUUAGCUAGUUGGUAGGGUAACGGCCUACCAAGGCAAAGAUGGUUAGCUGGUCUGAGAGGAUGAUCAGCCACACUGGAACUGAGACACGGUCCAGACUCCUACGGGAGGCAGCAGUGGGGAAUAUUGCGCAAUGGGCGAAAGCUUGACGCAGCAACGCCGCGUGAGUGAUGAAGGCCUUCGGGUCGUAAAGCUCUGUCGGGAGGAACGAAUGCUCCUGAGGUUAACAGCCUCGGGAGGUGACGGUACCUUCAAAGGAAGCACCGGCUAACUCUGUGCCAGCAGCCGCGGUAAGAC